rnacentral:misc_RNA from 1 species
GCAAACGAAGAGGAAAACUCGCGGAGAGAAAGCACCGUUCCGAAGGGAACGCGGAAAUCGGGCAAACUGAAUACAUACAUACACAGAGUCCAGGUAUUGCUAUAGAGCCAGGUGUACUCGUCUCUGGUCUUGGCCGAGCCGGAUACGAGAAAAAAGGGGGAAAAAAGUACACGAGAAGUCCGACGUCUUGACGUUUGUCGAGCGGAGCCAAUAACGUGCUGUUCUUGGAUAAAAUAUACAUACGUAGCGGACAGCAAGAAACCGAGUGAAAGGCAACAAUGUGAAGGUAAGCCUGCGCAUGCUCUACGUAUGCUAACUACACACGUAUACACGAAAGGCCGUCGGUAUCGUUGAAGUACGUAUUUUACACGGGCACAGGUCAGCAGCACGUGAAAUUGUACUUCGAGAAGGGACGUCAAAGUGGAAAGAGACCGACGUGCAUUAAGCGAGGAUAAAUUCCAACAGAGUCGAGAGACAUUUACAGGAUAGAGAGAAAGAGAGAGUGGUUGGUGGAGCGUAAGACACGUGGAGCCCUGAACUCGACCACCAGCCAUUCUAUUUUGACGAUGGUAGAAGGAAGCAUUGCGUGAUACAUUAGACGUCAUCAAAGCGGUUCCUUGCGCGCGAACAGCUACCCUGUCUCGAAUAAGAGUCACAUUGACAGGUUGGUCAAUAACUCUUUGAUCUACCACCACUCUCCCUUUUCUAGUCUAUACAUCCAUAUUUUGUCUUUAUUCCUG